rnacentral:lncRNA from 1 species
GACUCUUUUUCUUUAUUUUUCUUCAAAAAAAUAGCAUGCAACUUGAUGGAAGAUGGGAGAACAAGAGAGAACUCCUUCUCUUUAGGCAACGCGCCAACCCUUGGCAUGUAGAAAGGGGACGCCCAACUCCUUGGGUGUGGAAGCCAAAAUCCACCCAACCCGUGGGCAUGGAGGCAUGAAGAAGAGAAAAGAGGGAGAGGGCAUGAAGGCAAAG